AUGACUGAAAGUUUCUUUUUUAUAUUGCUGAGUCAGAUUGGAUCCGGUUCAUUAAGGGCCAAAAUUUGUAUUUGGCAGUAAUCCUCAUGUGUUCUCAGAAUGCUUGAUUGGUCAUUAUCAGUUGCUUAAUGCUUACCAAACACUUCCAGUGUUUUGAGUCACUGAAUUGGCUCAUGGUAAUUGUUAAUCUUGUGGUUACUGAGUCAAGAGCCAGCAGUGUGUGUUUUGGCUGCUUCACUUCCUCCUCAACACUUGAUAUUGUCAGAUUUUAAAUUAAUUUUUUUUUUCUAAUCUGGUGGGUUUGAAAUUGUAUCUAUAGUGUUUUUUAUCAGCAUUUCCUGAAGCUGGGCAUCUUUUCAUGUAUUUUCGUUGGUCAUUUGUGCUUCUGCGAAGUGUAUAUUCAAUUUCGUUGCCUAUUUUUUUGGUCUUUUCUCUUUUUCUGAUUUAUUUUUAAGAGUUCUUUAUAUAUUCUGGAUACUAAUUAUUUGUUAAUUUAUAGGUUGCAAAUAUCCUUUCCCAAUUUGUGACUUGUCUUUUCAUCUCUUCAUAGUCUUCUGGUGAGAAAAGCUCCUAAUUGUAAUGAACUGAAUUUUUCAGUCUUUCAUGGUUUGUGUUUUGUGUUUUUUUUUAUUUUUUAUUUUUUAUUUUUUGAGAUGGAGUUUCGCUCUUGUUGCCCAUGCGGGAGUGCAAUGGCGUGAUCUUGGCUCACUGCAGCCUCCGCCUCCUGGGUUCAAGCAAUUCUCCUGUCUCAGCCUCCCGAGUAGCUGGGAUUACAGGUGCCUGCCACCACGCCCAGCUAAUUUCUGUAUUUUUAGUAGAGACAGGGUUUCAUCAUAUUGGUCAGGCUGGUCUUGAACUCCUGACCUCAGGUGAUCCACCCGCCUGGGCCUCCCAAAGUGCUGGGAUUACAGGCGUGAGCCACUGCGCCCGGCUGGUUUGUGCUUGUUGUAUCAAAUUUGGGAAAUCCUUCUUUGCUGCCAGGCAUGUUGUUUUAAUAAAUACAGUAGUAUACCUAUCUAUAAUGUGGUAUAUCUCAUCUGACAUUUAUUUCCAAUAUUUGCUUGAUUACAAAGGCAGACUUCUUAGAAGUUGCUUUCUUAUUAUCUUUGGAGUUAUAGGGCCACAGGGUUUUAAAAGGAGGUUGGAUUGUGCCUUACAUGUGGGUUUCAUACAUUGUCCAAACUGAGACACCAACAGAUUUGUGAAUGAGAUGUGCAUCUUAUUAAAUGUUAAUGUGAUUUGACAAUGAGACCUUUCUUUGUGUGGACAGUAUUAUAUACAAUUGAUAGUGUGUCAUUCAGUCUAAGCUGUUAGCACUUUCACUAAAAUAUAUUCAAAUUUUUUUUGAUGUCUAGUUUUUACAGUGUUGGGCUUUAUCAAGAAUAGUUGUGGAUUGUGGAAGAGCUGAUAUGGAAACAGAGGAAUGUAUUUUGCUUUUUUUUUUAAACUCUGUCCGGUUCCUUGGACUUGUGUGUCUCCUAUCUUAUCAAGAAUAAUUGUAGAUUGUGGAAGAGUUGAUAUGGAAACAUCUUAGAAGAAUGUUUUUUGCUUUUUUUAAAAAAAAAAACAAAACUGUCCAGUUCCUUGGACUUGUGUGUCUCCUAUCUACCAUUAAACCCUUAUGACUUAAGGUAUAUGUAUAAAUACAUAUAUACAUCUUGGUGGCAUUGAUUUUUCUAUGUUGUGUAUUAAAGCUGCUAAAAAACAUUUUUUCUUUUUUUCAAUGAGAAGACUAGUGAUUACUUUGACUUUAGGAAUUAUUCUUCUAAGGAGUCAAGUAUUUGAUCUGGGCGAGGAUCACACUGAAAUAUAAAACAUCUGAGUAAUUUGGGUUCACUAAAAAAAAAAAAAAAGAAAU